rnacentral:rRNA from 1 species
AUACGUAGGGGGCGAGCGUUGUCCGGAAUGAUUGGGCGUAAAGGGCGCGUAGGCGGCCCGGUAAGUCUGGAGUGAAAGUCCUGUUUUUAAGAUGGGAAUUGCUUUGGAUACUGUCGGGCUUGAGUGCAGGAGAGGUAAGUGGAAUUCCCAGUGUAGCGGUGAAAUGCGUAGAGAUUGGGAGGAACACCAGUGGCGAAGGCGACUUACUGGACUGUAACUGACGCUGAGGCGCGAAAGUGUGGGGAGCAAACAGGAUUAGAUACCCUGGUAGUCCACACUGUAAACGAUGAAUGCUAGGUGUAGGGGGUAUCGACCCCUUCUGUGCCGGAGUUAACACAAUAAGUAUCCCGCCUGGGGAGUACGGCCGCAAGGUUGAAACUCAAAUGAAUUGGCGGGG